GGUAGUUAAAAUCCCUAAUAUUUUUACCUUUUUCUUCCCAUUAUAACCCUCAAUCUUCUUUCAUCAAGAUCAAUAUCCAAGCACGGGUCUCCAUUUACAAUAGUUGCUUCAGAUUCCCUUCACUCUAAUCAAUUCAAGCCAUUGAAUGCCAUAAUUAACCAUCUUGAAUGCUAGAAAUCUAAUUUCGCCCUAAAUUUCUAAGACGUCAUCUGAAAGGUCACUGCUAAUCUCCAUGAUUUCAUCCUCCGCUCCCAAAUCUGUCCCUCCUUUCAAUGAGUUCUUCAGUUUCUUAUCAGGGAGUUGUGUAAUCGAUACCCUAAUUAAUUGUACAUUCAAUUUCGUAUUGAAUGCAAUUGAAGAUGUGGCUUGAAUGUUGGGUUUGCAAUUUAGGUGUUUAUAGGCACUCAAAGAGUCGAUUACACAGAUGCAACAAGAUAACAUUAGUGGCUGCAUAUACAAGACAGAGCCACAGAAUUAUGUGGCUGAAUGGAAGAGAUUCCGGUCAACUUCGGUUCAUCCCUGUUCACAAUGCAUGUUCCUUCUCGCACUUGAUUUCAAUUUGCAAGAACCAUAAGUUUGCAAGAUCACUGGAAUAUAUAAUUUAUGCUUGGUGUUUGGUAUGAUUCUCCAAAAUCAAUGGUUUUGGAUUUAACCCCUUUCAUUUGAUUUGAUCUUGUGAGGUUUGAUGAUAAAAGACGAUCAAUAAGAGGCAACGAUGACUAAAUUUGAUUUGAUCAGGUUUCAGAUUCACCGCAUUUGGCGUGGCAGAUUCAGAGGAUGGUAACUGCAAGAUAUGUCUUUCAUACUGCAGUUGCAACCUGUUGCGGCUAGGGUGGUGUAAGUCUGUUUAUGUGAUGGAAAAAAAAAUAUGAGCCUUAAUGUUUUGCAAUAAAAUUAUCUUUGAUAUCA